ACGUGGACCAAAUGCGAUGACCAGUUCCAGCACCACAUCGAGGACCAUGGGCUAAUUUUUAGGUUUACUUUACGUUAGAUUUAGGAAGCAAGAGAGGUUGUAGUAGGCUUAAGUUUAAGUAGAAUAAGGUAGAGGGCAAUUGUACUAAUUAGGUUAGUCAAUUAGCAUUGUAGACUAGGACUAGCUGUAAGUUAGUUUAGGUAACAAGAGAAGAUGUAUUAGAUUUAGGUCUAAACUUAGGGGUAAUGUGCCCACAGUAGGUUAAGGUAGAUUAAGGUAGGUUAAGUCAGUGAUGUCAGCUUUCACAGAGUGUAAAACACUCUAAAGAUGUUAGAAUUAAGAUUCGUAGAUAAGUUAGCAGUAAGAAAUUUGUAAAAAUUUGUCUGAAAUAAAUAAUGUUCAAGGCAG